GGUUCAAUCCCUGGUCAGGGAACUAAGAUCCUGCAAGCUUCAUGGCUCAGCCAAAAAAAUAAAAAUAAAAACCUUUAAAAAAAAAUAAGUGGAUGAACCCAUCCUCACUUUGGUCUUUCUGACUCAAACUCAAUUCUCAGAAUCACUAAAUGGAGAUCAUAUGUAGGAAAGUGCUUUGUAAACAGCAAAAGACGAUGUUACUACAGUACAUAGCAGCACACAGCAUGGCAACUUGCACAUAGUAGGUGCCCAUGAGCGUUUGCUGAAUUGAGGCAGGGCGGGAAGAAGUCCCGCACCAAAUAGUACCAUCACCCGAGGAAGGAAGAAGCAAUCUUGAGGACCUCGGAGGCUCCAAUCAACCUUCCACCAUAUGCUGAAUCUUUUGUGAUGCUCAUCAGCUAAUAUAAGACACGUAAAGUGGGCAUUACCCAGACAUUUGCCCAACAUGGUUUCUAUCUUUCCUCCUUCAAUUAAGUCUCCACAGCUGGAAAUGUUGGCUUAAUAAAUGCACGGUCAUUCCAGGGGGCUGGGGCUUGUUUAGCUCCUAAAUCGCCUCUGAUGUUAACAGGCCAGAACGUGCUCGCUGAGGUGGGGAUCUUCUCAGAUUACUAACAGUGGUUUUAGAUGUUUCACUGUGUCUCUGGAGAUAGCAAAGAACCCUAGAAUUCGCCAACUUUUGACCCCUCACUACACUGACUUCUACAGACAAGGGGUUUAAACCAUAUCUGUUUUUUAAAAUUUUAUUGAAGUAUAGUUGAUUUACUUUUUUUCAUUUUUUAAUUUUAUUGACCAUAUCCCUUGAACAUUCUACCUCCAUAUACUAAAGUUUUAGUGGGAUUCAAUGUAAGGAUCUGCAUUAGGAGGAGUACCGGGAGGGAAGAUACGUCGCCUGGUAAUUCCAUCUUCCCCAUCUUCAGCCGGACUCAUCCUCUUCUACGCAACCCCUAAAUGAUGGGGUUCUCUCCUCCUCUGACUUUGCAUCUUCUCCUUAGACAAUCUCAUCCACGCUCACGGCCUCAGUUACCAGCAGGCCUCAGUCACGUCCCCACCCCUGGAGCUCGCAGGUACCUGGGAGAACUCACAGCUGCCUUCUGCUGGACUGGAAGUAUUUGUAUCCUGACCAUCCGCGAGGUCUUGCUCAGAGUUAGAGAAAAGCUUCUCAAAUGUGGGCCAGCUGUUGGAGCUUUAAUAUGCAUAUUUGGGAGAAUUCAUAUUUAAUUUAUUAAGCUGGCCGGCCAGCUGCCCGCUAGGCUUGGGAUGACCUCUACAAUGCAUCUAAAGCUAACCCUUCAGACUCAGAAGAAUGGUCACCUCCUCCUUCAUGCAGUAUUUUCUGCCUGUCCCCUCAAAAGCUGAGUUUGGGGCUUCUUUCUUUGUGUUCCCGUGGAAAUGCUGUACUAGGUACACCUUUUCACUUGUAAUUUGCCCCUACUGCUCUCUGGGCUCCUUGAGGCAGGGACCAUGAGUCAUAUCACAAGCAAUUAGAACAGAGCUGGAAUAUGGUGCCCUAUGAAUGAAGCCCAUUGUUCUCUGCAUCUGUGUCUCUAUUUCUGCCCUGCAAACCGGUUCAUCUGUACCAUUUUUCUAGG